rnacentral:lncRNA from 1 species
UCACAGUGCACUGGGAGCCAUGCCUCCAGCCUUUUCUCUGACUAAUAAGUUGUUUUCAGAACACCUCCCAAACCAACCAGUGGUUUUUGUUUUUUUUAAAAGUUAAUGAUGUGUUACCAAAUAAUAAAAUACCAAGUUGAAUUGCUGGGGAAUGUAGCUUAGUAGUUGAGUAUUUGACCAGAAAGUGAGAGGUUCUAAGUUCAAGUCCCAGUGCUGGCAAACAAAACAGACAAACAAACCAAAGAGUACCUCUCCAGAUGGUUCCCUACAGCCUUCACAUUGACUUAAUGUCACUUUGUCACCCAUGAUUAAUGACACAUUAAUAAUUCUCUUCGUUUUAUUAGUGCUAUUUGGAUAAUAUUGUAUUUAAUACCAUAGUGAUUGUAACUCAUCCAUAGAGAUAAUAAAAUUCUGACUUUGGAUUUAUGAAACAGAUUGCUAAACUGAGAGAGGGAGAGGGAGAGGAAGAGAGAUUGCUGCAAAUUUGUAAUCCCAGAAUUUAGGAAGUAGGCUCAGGAAUUCAGUCAUUAUUAUUUAUUUUUUUAUUUUUUUGGUUUUUCAAGACAGGGUUUCUCUGUGUAGCCCUGGCUGUCUUGGAACUCACUCUGUAGAUCAGGCUGGCCUCGAACUCAGAAAUCUGCCUGCAUCUGCCUCCUGAGUGCUGGGGUUAAAGGCAUGUACCACCACUACCUGGCGAAUUCAGUCAUUCUUAGCUACAUAGCGAGCUUACUUAAGACCAGCCUGAGUUACAUGAGACUAUUUUGUUUGUUUUAAUAAAAGAAAAGAAAGAAACAAGGAAAUAUAUUGCACACUGGGCUUGGUAGAUAGCUCAGCAGAUUAUUAAAGUGUUCAGUGAAAUUAUUUUUUUUUUAUAUUGAGUACCAUGUGGUAUAAAAUCUAGACCAAGCAAUUUGGGGCAUAGCUGCUAAUAUAAUACAGCUUUCCUUAUGAAAAAUUGUACAUUUUUUGUAGGCUAACAUUGAUAGUAUAAACAUCUUUCCUUGGGGUAGUGGGAAAUAUAUUGUCAAGAUGAGAUGAAGUUGUGGGUUGGUCAUUGACGAUUUGUCUGAAUGCUCAUGGUAUUUAGCAUCAAUCCCAGCACCAACAAAAGAAAAGAAAUUUAAUAUUCUUUUGUUUGUUUGUUUGUUUGUUUGUUCUGAGACAGGGUCUCACUUUGUAGCUUUGACUAGCCUGGAAUUCUUUAUAUAAACCAGGCUGGCCUCAAAUUUAAGAACCAGCAAGAUGACUUAGUAGGUAAAGGAAUCACCUGCUUCUACCUUCUGAGUUCUGGAAUUAAAGGCCCUUGCCACUCUUCCCAGCAAGAUACUAGGAUAUUAGAAAUGCCAAUCAUCCACUUUUCUACCUUUGUAAAGUCUUUUUCUACUCUUAAAUUUGCAUUCUAGUGCAUGCGUGUAUGUGUGUGGGGGGGCCAAAUUUCAACUAUGAGUUCUCUUCUUUUACCAUGUAUGUUUUAGGGAUCAAACUCAGACUCUAGAUUUGGGGCAAGCACGUUUACCUAAUCUUGCUGGUCCUUAGAAGUCUUUGUGUUUUGAGAGAGUCUCGUAGCCAGAGCUGCCCUGAGUUCCCUCUCCUCCUGCUGCCAUCACUUUUCUAGUGCUACUGCUAUAACCUUGCCUCCCAGUGUCUGCUUUAUGUAGAGCCUAAUGCAGACAUUGCUUACAGACGAGAUAGAAGUUUAAAUGCUUAUAUAACAAGAGAUCUAAGUUAAGAUAGUAUUCAGAUGUGAAUCAUAGAAUUGCAAAACUUAGCAAGCCUUAUAAGUAUUUCAAAGUGAACAUAUAUUGAAGGCUAUAUGUAAGAGGAAUGUAUGAAGGAUGUAUGAAGCUUAAACUAUUUCAGAAUAUUCACAUCCCCUUUCCCAUUUGACACUAAGGUGGUUGUAAAAAUAAAUUUUAUUUACCUGAUAUAGUUGCUGUCUCCAAGGCUUAUUGCCUUGGUCUGCUAACCUGUACCUAGUCCUGGAAGCUGCUGGCCUCUGUACAAUCUUAUCUAGGCCUAGAAUGUUUUCAGCCUCUGAGACUUACUGCUGAAUAAACUUAAACUUUCUAGUUCUCUUUGAACUCUGGGGGAUUGGUUCAACUCAGCUGGCUGGCUCAAAGCUCUUCUCCAAGCUGACUGAUUCAAACUGGCUUCUCUCAGCUUCUGCCUGAAUUGUUCUACUUGACCUCAUACCAACUUUGACAAUCUUCUCUGGUUCCUUCUCAUUCUCUGGCUUGUUGUGUCUUCACCUGUGUCUAACUUGUACUCUCUUUAAGCUGUCUCUACAACUGUCCCAGGAAAACUACCCUCUCCUUUUUCCUCUCUCUGCUCUGUUCUCUGUUAAGUAGCCUCUCUUUUCUCUUUGUCUCUUGAGAGUUGGGCAUAUCCUAUUCUGUCAAAUCUUUUUCUGAUUCUUCAGUUUGUCUGCUACUCAAUUAGAUAUCACUUUCAAAUAUGGAUGCUUCCUUCUACAAUUUAACUUUACCUUCAUUGUUUGGGAUUAAAGGUAUGUACUAAGGGUGUCUGUAUUCUAGCCAUGUUGCUAGAUUAAAAUCCCUCUACAGGUGUCUUUGCAGACUUACUGUUCAUUAGCACUAGGUAUCCAAAUAGUUCUGAUGAUAAGAGUAGAGACUGAUAACUAGCUCAACUGAUUACUGUGUACCCCCCUCUCCCAGUUCUUCAUGAAUGGUAAAGGUGUGUCAGAUCUCUUCUCAGGCAGUCCUGCCAGCUAAAGGUGCUUACUGUCUCUGCUUUUUAAGUGAGGAAGUCAGUGAGGCUUAAGAGAAUCUGUGUAAAUUGUCACAGAGUGAAGAAGGUCUAUCUGUUUCUGGGUCUUCACUGCACAUCAUGGCUUAUCCUUGUGAUCCCAUCACUGGGGAGUUUGAAACAGGAUUGCUGUGAGUUUGAGACCAGUCUGUGUUGGAUAGUGCUUUCUAGGUUAGCCUGAGCUACAUAAAGAGACCCUGUCCCCAAAAGCCAAAAC